rnacentral:rRNA from 1 species
CGUUGAUUACGUCCCUACCCUUUGUACACACCGCCCGUCGCUACUACCGAUUGAAUGGCUCAGUGAGGCUUUCGGACUGGCCCAGGGAGGUCGGCAACGACCACCCAGGGCCGGAAAGUUAUCCAAACUCGGUCAUUUAGAGGAAGUAAAAGUCGUAACAAGG